rnacentral:rRNA from 1 species
CGCCAUGGCGGCGGCUACACAUGCAAGUCGAGCGGAAACGAGUUAUCUGAACCUUCGGGGAACGAUAACGGCGUCGAGCGGCGGACGGGUGAGUAAUGCCUAGGAAAUUGCCCUGAUGUGGGGGAUAACCAUUGGAAACGAUGGCUAAUACCGCAUGAUGCCUACGGGCCAAAGAGGGGGACCUUCGGGCCUCUCGCGUCAGGAUAUGCCUAGGUGGGAUUAGCUAGUUGGUGAGGUAAGGGCUCACCAAGGCGACGAUCCCUAGCUGGUCUGAGAGGAUGAUCAGCCACACUGGAACUGAGACACGGUCCAGACUCCUACGGGAGGCAGCAGUGGGGAAUAUUGCACAAUGGGCGCAAGCCUGAUGCAGCCAUGCCGCGUGUGUGAAGAAGGCCUUCGGGUUGUAAAGCACUUUCAGUCGUGAGGAAGGUGGUAUCGUUAAUAGCGCUAUUGUUUGACGUUAGCGACAGAAGAAGCACCGGCUAACUCCGUGCCAGCAGCCGCGGUAAUACGGAGGGUGCGAGCGUUAAUCGGAAUUACUGGGCGUAAAGCGCAUGCAGGUGGUUUGUUAAGUCAGAUGUGAAAGCCCGGGGCUCAACCUCGGAAUAGCAUUUGAAACUGGCAGACUAGAGUACUGUAGAGGGGGGUAGAAUUUCAGGUGUAGCGGUGAAAUGCGUAGAGAUCUGAAGGAAUACCGGUGGCGAAGGCGGCCCCCUGGACAGAUACUGACACUCAGAUGCGAAAGCGUGGGGAGCAAACAGGAUUAGAUACCCUGGUAGUCCACGCCGUAAACGAUGUCUACUUGGAGGUUGUGGCCUUGAGCCGUGGCUUUCGGAGCUAACGCGUUAAGUAGACCGCCUGGGGAGUACGGUCGCAAGAUUAAAACUCAAAUGAAUUGACGGGGGCCCGCACAAGCGGUGGAGCAUGUGGUUUAAUUCGAUGCAACGCGAAGAACCUUACCUACUCUUGACAUCCAGAGAACUUUCCAGAGAUGGAUUGGUGCCUUCGGGAACUCUGAGACAGGUGCUGCAUGGCUGUCGUCAGCUCGUGUUGUGAAAUGUUGGGUUAAGUCCCGCAACGAGCGCAACCCUUAUCCUUGUUUGCCAGCGAGUAAUGUCGGGAACUCCAGGGAGACUGCCGGUGAUAAACCGGAGGAAGGUGGGGACGACGUCAAGUCAUCAUGGCCCUUACGAGUAGGGCUACACACGUGCUACAAUGGCGCAUACAGAGGGCGGCCAACUUGCGAAAGUGAGCGAAUCCCAAAAAGUGCGUCGUAGUCCGGAUUGGAGUCUGCAACUCGACUCCAUGAAGUCGGAAUCGCUAGUAAUCGUGGAUCAGAAUGCCACGGUGAAUACGUUCCCGGGCCUUGUACACACCGCCCGUCACACCAUGGGAGUGGGCUGCAAAAGAAGUAGGUAGUUUAACCUUCGGGGGGACGCUUACCACUUUUUUGUUACGGGUUC